rnacentral:rRNA from 1 species
GACGAACGCUGGCGGCGUGCUUAACACAUGCAAGUCGAACGGAGUGUCGAACGGGUGAGUAACACGUGGGUGAACUGCCUUGCACUUCGGGAUAAGCUUGGGAAACUGGGUCUUAUACCGGAUUUUGCAAGAUGAGCUCGCGGCCUAUCAGCUUGUUGGUGGGGUAAUGGCCUCUCAACGCGGCGACGGUUAGCCGGCCUGGGAGGGGGGACGGCGACAUUGGGACUGAGAUACGGCCCAGGCGCCUACGGGAGGCAGCAGUGGGGAAUAUGGCACAAUGGGCGGAAGCCUGAUACAGCGACGCCGCGUGGGUGAUGAAGGCCUUCGGGUUGUAAACUCCUUGCGACAGAGACGCGGUACCUGUAGAAGAAGCACCGGCUAACUACGUGCCAGCAGCCGCGGUAAUUC